UUUCGGCGACAGUGGAAGGGGAGCCAUCCAGCAGUGCACCAUCGGCAAAGGUCGUCGUGUAGGUGGCGGCGGGGGAC
rnacentral:SRP_RNA from 13 species